UGGGGAAUAUUGCACAAUGGGGGAAACCCUGAUGCAGCGACGCCGCGUGAACGAAGAAGGUAUUCGUAUCGUAAAGUUCUGUCCUAUGGGAAGAUAAUGACAGUACCAUAGAAGAAAGCUCCGGCUAAAUACGUGCCAGCAGCCGCGGUAAUACGUAUGGAGCGAGCGUUGUCCGGAAUUAUUGGGCGUAAAGGGUACGCAGGCAGUUUAAUAAGUCGAAUGUUAAAUAUCGGGGCUCAACCCCGUAAAGCAUUGGAAACUGAUAAACUUGAGUAGUGGAGAGGAAAGUGGAAUUCCUAGUGUAGUAGUGAAAUACGUAGGUAUUAGGAGGAAUACCAGUAGCGAAGGCGACUUUCUGGACACAAACUGACGCUGAGGUACGAAAGCGUGGGGAGCAAACAGG
rnacentral:rRNA from 1 species